UGGCUUCGCGGCGGUUGG
rnacentral:misc_RNA from 1 species